UACGUAGGGUGCAGGCGUUAAUCGGAAUUACUGGGCGUAAAGCGUGCGCAGGCGGUUUCUUAAGUCAGAUGUGAAAGCCCCGGGCUUAACCUGGGAACUGCGUUUGAAACUGGGAGACUUGAGUGUGGGCAGAGGGGGGUGGAAUUCCACGGUGUAGCAGUGAAAUGCGUAGAUAUGUGGAGGAACACCGAUGGCGGAAGGCAGCCCCCUGGGUUAACACUGACGCUCGAUGCACGAAAGCGUGGGGAGCAAACAGG
rnacentral:rRNA from 1 species